rnacentral:rRNA from 1 species
GCCAAAAAGCUAGCUUUCUAACCAAAAAUCAUAACACCACCAUUCCCACCCACCUUACACAACACACAAAUAACUUAAUUAAAACAUUCUCCCACCUUAGUACGGGCGACGAAAAAGGCACAUCUUCUUAAGCAAUAGUAAAAGUACCGCAAGGGAAAGCUGAAAAAGAAAUGAAACAACUCAUCAAAGCACAACAAAGCAGAGACUAACUCUCGUACCUUUUGCAUCAUGAUUUAGCCAGCAAAACUGAGCAAAAAGAAUUUUAGUUCAAGACCCCGAAACCAAGCGAGCUACCUCGGGACAGCCAAAUCUAGGGCAAACCCGUCUCUGUGGCAAAAGAGUGGGAAGAUCCCCGGGUAGAGGUGAAAAGCCUACCGAGCCUGGUGAUAGCUGGUUGCCUAAAAAAUGAAUAGAAGUUCAGCCUCGUGCUCCUCACCUCCUAGACAACUAUGAAACAGAGAAAAACACGAGAGUUAAUCAAAAGAGGUACAACUCUUUUGACCAGGACACAACCUUACACAGGAGAUUAAAGACUAUACUUACUAAGAUUACUGCUUCAGUGGGCCUAAAAGCAGCCACCUGUCUAAGAAAGCGUUAAAGCUCAAACAGAAAAAAAUCUAUUAUCCCAGCAUUACCUCUAAUAUCCCUACUUAUAUUAGGCCUCUCCAUGAAAUCAUGGAGGAGACCCUGCUAAAACGAGUAAUAAGAAGAAACCCCUUCUCCUGACCCAUGUGUAAGUCAGACCGGACCAACCACUGAUAAUUAACGAACUCACCCAAGAGAGUAAUGUUCCCAAAACCAUAAACAAGAAAACCCCACACACCCCUUCGUUAACCCCACACUGGCGCGCCACCACAGGAAAGACUAAAAGGAGAGGAAGGAACUCGGCAAACACCAAGCCCCGCCUGUUUACCAAAAACAUCGCCUCCUGCUAACCCUUCAACGUAUAGGAGGUCUUACCUGCCCAGUGACAUUCGUGUUAAACGGCCGCGGUAUUUUGACCGUGCUAAGGUAGCGCAAUCACUUGUUUUUUAAAUGAAGACCUGUAUGAAUGGUGAAACGAGGGCUUAACUGUCUCCCCCUCCCAGUCAAUGAAACUGAUCUGUUCGUGCAGAAGCGAACAUAUACCUACAAGACGAGAAGACCCUUUGGAGCUUUAGACAAAGGCCAACUAUUCCCAACCCCUACAUUAAAUAGGACAAAACGAAAUACCACCUGACCAAAGUCUUCGGUUGGGGCGACCAUGGGGAAAAACAAAACCCCCACGUGGAAUAGACCAUUCUCUUUAUCCGAGAGAAAUAUCUCUAAGUCACAGAACAUCUGACCAUAAUGAUCCGACCAAUCGGCCGAUUAACAAACCAAGUUACCCUAGGGAUAACAGCGCAAUCCCCUUCAAGAGUCCUUAUCGACAAGGGGGUUUACGACCUCGAUGUUGGAUCAGGACAUCCUAAUGGCGCAGCCGCUAUUAAGGGUUCGUUUGUUCAACGAUUAAAGUCCUACGUGAUCUGAGUUCAGACCGGAGCAAUCCAGGUCAGUUUCUAUCUGUAAUGCUAUUUUUUCUAGUACGAAAGGACCGAGAAAAUGAGGCCCCUGCUUUAAGCACGCCUCCCUCUAACUUUAUGAAACCAACUCAAUUAAACAAAAGAAGGGCAUAAAUAAGCCCCGAGAUAAGAAAUAA